rnacentral:rRNA from 1 species
CAGGCCUAACACAUGCAAGUCGAGCGGGGUGAUGUAGCUUGCUACAUUACCUAGCGGCGGACGGGUGAGUAAUGCUUAGGAAUCUGCCUAUUAGUGGGGGACAACAUUCCGAAAGGAAUGCUAAUACCGCAUACGCCCUACGGGGGAAAGCAGGGGAUCUUCGGACCUUGCGCUAAUAGAUGAGCCUAAGUCAGAUUAGCUAGUUGGUGGGGUAAAGGCCUACCAAGGCGACGAUCUGUAGCGGGUCUGAGAGGAUGAUCCGCCACACUGGGACUGAGACACGGCCCAGACUCCUACGGGAGGCAGCAGUGGGGAAUAUUGGACAAUGGGCGAAAGCCUGAUCCAGCCAUGCCGCGUGUGUGAAGAAGGCCUUUUGGUUGUAAAGCACUUUAAGCGAGGAGGAGGCUACUUAGAUUAAUACUCUAGGAUAGUGGACGUUACUCGCAGAAUAAGCACCGGCUAACUCUGUGCCAGCAGCCGCGGUAAU